CGGCUGGGGUAGAGAUGUAACAUCAAGCAUUCAUGGAUGUCCAGGGAGCGCGGGCUCACACGCUGCUGGCCAGAGGUACUAGGAAGGCACAGGCGGGAGCCCGACGAGGAUGCACCUUCCCCUGCCUUGGAAAGUAAGAAACCUAAAUCCAGGGCCAGCGAAAUGGCUCAUCAGGCUAAAAUGGUUCCAAUGAAGCUUGACAACCUGUGUUUGAUCCCUGGAGCUGACUCCUGAGGACCAUCUCCGCCUUCCUCACUGGUACCUUUGGUACCCACACGUCUGGAGAACCUGAGUUGGGGGCUGGAGAGAUGAGUCAGAAGCCAAGAGCACAGGCUGCUCUUCCAGAAGACCCAGCUUUGAUUCCCAGCCCCCAGGCAGCUUCCAGCCAACUCCAGUUCAGAGCUCUCCUGGCCUCCCUGGGCACCAGGCACAAACAUGAUGCACGGAUACGCAUGCAGACAAAGCGCCCAUGUGAAUAAAAUAAAUACAUGAGUCUUUUAAAAAUAUGAGUUGGGACCCUAAAGUUCCUCUCAAACUUGACAUGGACAAGUAAUUUGAAGCUUCAGUCCACCUUCAAAUUUCAAGUCUGUUGAAGCACUACCCUUCAGCCUUUCUUGUCGCUUAGGGAAAGACAGAUGCUACCUGAAAUAUCUUUUUAAUUAAUCAUGUCUCCUCAUCCUUUGCCUUGGUUUCAUUAAAAUGACAUGCAAGAAUUCAAA